rnacentral:rRNA from 1 species
UACAGAGGUCUCAAGCGUUGUUCGGAUUCAUUGGGCGUAAAGGGUGCGUAGGCGGCGCGGUAAGUCGGGUGUGAAAUCUCGGAGCUUAACUCCGAAACUGCAUUCGAUACUGCCGUGCUUGAGGACUGGAGAGGAGACUGGAAUUUACGGUGUAGCGGUGAAAUUCGUAGAUAUCGGGAGGAACACCAGUGGCGAAGGCGGCGACCUGGGCAGAUACUGACACUGAGGUGCGAAAGCGUGGGGAGCAAACAGG